rnacentral:rRNA from 1 species
UACGAAGGGGGCUAGCGUUGCUCGGAAUGACUGGGCGUAAAGGGCGCGUAGGCGGUUGGAUAAGUCAGCUGUGAAAACCACGAGCUUAACUCGUGGCCUGCAGUUGAGACUGUCUGGCUUGAGUGUGGGAGAGGAGAGUGGAAUUCCUGGUGUAGCGGUGAAAUGCGUAGAUAUCAGGAGGAACACCUGAGGUGAAGACGGGUUGCUGGGCUGACACUGACGCUGAGGCGCGAAAGCCAGGGGAGCAAACGGG